CUCUGAUUGAUUUCCUGAUCGAUCGGUGAUCGGUGUGAUCAGAGCCGAAGCCCUUCAUCGACGUCUCCAUCAUCACCCGCUUCAACGAGCACAGCCAGGUCACACAGUUCAAGUACUUCAUGGCUCUGGUGCAGGAGAUGGCAGUGAAGAUUGAUCAGGGUUUUCUUGGAGCCAUUUUGGCUGUUUUCACACCAGCCGCCGACCCGCAGGACGACAGACAGAGGACUAAGCUGAUAGAGAAGGACCUGCAGAUGCUGCAGGCGGAGCUGAUGGAGGCGUCGCUGACCGACACGUCAGGCCUGAGCUUCUUCGAGCACUUCCACAUCUCCCCCAUCAAGG